GUCCACGCCCUAAACUAUGGAUACUCGACAUAUGCGAUACACUGUAUGUGUCUGAGCGAAAGCAUUAAGUAUCCCACCUGGGAAGUACGUUCGCAAGAAUGAAACUCAAAAGGAAUUGGCGGGGGGUCCGCACAAGCGGUGGAGUAUGUGGUUUAAUUCGAUGAUACGCGAGGAACCUUACCUGGGCUAGAAUGCUGGGAGACCGCUAGUGAAAGCUAGUUUUGAGCAAUACACUGCCAGUAAGGUGCUGCAUGGCCGUCGU
rnacentral:rRNA from 1 species